AUAGGUAUUGGCAAGGGAGAUACCAUGAUCAUGAAAGUGGUUCUCCCAGGGUGAGGCUCAUCCAUUCCACCGCAGGUGUGCUGACCCCUGCGAUUUCCCCAAAUGCGGGAAACUCGACUGCAUAAUUUGUGGUAGUGGGGGAUUGCAUUUGCACUUUCCCCUG
rnacentral:snRNA from 1 species